rnacentral:rRNA from 1 species
UACGUAGGGGGCAAGCGUUGUCCGGAUUUAUUGGGCGUAAAGAGCGUGUAGGCGGCCUUGCAAGUCCGUUGUGAAAACUCGAGGCUCAACCUCGAGACGCCGGUGGAAACUGCAAAGCUAGAGUCCGGAAGAGGAGAGUGGAAUUCCUGGUGUAGCGGUGAAAUGCGCAGAUAUCAGGAGGAACACCGAUGGCGAAGGCAGCUCGCUGGGACGGUACUGACGCUGAGGCGCGAAAGCGUGGGGAGCGAACAGG